rnacentral:rRNA from 1 species
UACAGAGGGUGCAAACGUUGUUCGGAAUUACUGGGCAUAAAGCGCACGUAGGCGGCCGAGUAAGUGUGAAGUGAAAUCCCACAGCUCACCUGUGGAACUGCUUUGCAUACUGCUUGGCUAGAGGAAGGUAGGGGAGAGCAGAACUCCUGGAGGAGCGGUGAAAUGCGUAGAUAUCAGGAGGAAUACCAGUGGCGAAGGCGGCUCUCUGGUCCUUUUCUGACGCUGAGGUGCGAAAGCUAGGGUAGCGAACGGG